AUGUUGUGGAGGGCAAAGGCCCAUAGGCCUGAAAUAGCACCAACCAGGUCAUCAAAAGUACGCCCAGUACUCCGCAAUUAUUCGGCAACCCGCCGUUAUUACCACCAACCAGGUGAUCAAAAGUACCCCCAGUACUCCACAAUUAUUCGGCAACUCGCCGCUAUUACCACCAACCAGGUGAUCAAAAGUACGCCCAGUACUUCAAGUCAUACAUGAGCAUUACUCAUGUCAAUCAUACAUAAACAUUCAUGAGCAUCACUCAUCCAAUCAUACAUAAACAUUCAUGAGCAUCACUCAUGUCAACAUUCAUGAGCAUCACUCAUGUCAACAUCCAUGAGCAUCACUCAUGUCAAUCAACAUAAACAUCCAUAAGCAUCACUCAUGUCAACAUCCAUGAGCAUCACUCAUGUCAAUCAACAUAAACAUGCAUGAGCAUCACUCAUGUCAAAUCAGCUUCAAAGACUUCAUUUACAGAGCUCUAGCUUCAAAAGCUUCAUUCACAAGAGCUCUAGCUUCAAAAGCUUCAUUUACAGAGCUCUAGCUUCAAAAGCUUCAUUUACAAGAGCUCUAGCUUCAAAAGCUUCAUUUACA
rnacentral:lncRNA from 1 species